rnacentral:rRNA from 1 species
UACGUAGGGUGCGAGCGUUUGUCCGGAUUUAUUGGGCGUAAAGAGCUCGUAGGCGGUUUGUCGCGUCGACUGUGAAAACCCGCGGCUCAACUGCGGGCUUGCAGUCGAUACGGGCAGGCGUAGAGUUCGGUAGGGGAGACGUGGAAUUCCUGGUGUAGCGGUGAAAUGCGCAGAUAUCAGGAGGAACACCGGUGGGCGAAGGCGGCCACCUGGACGGUCACUGACGCUGGAGACGCGAAAGCGUGGGUAGCAAACAGG